rnacentral:rRNA from 1 species
UACGUAGGGUGCAAGCGUUGUCCGGAAUUAUUGGGCGUAAAGAGCUCGUAGGCGGUUUUGUCGCGUCUGCUGUGAAAACCCGAGGCUCAACCUCGGGCCCGCAGUGGGUACGGGCAGACUAGAGUGCGGGUAGGGGAGAUUGGAAUUCCUGGUGUAGCGGUGGAAUGCGCAGAUAUCAGGAGGAACACCAAUGGCGAAGGCAGAUCUCUGGGCCGUAACUGACGCUGGAGGAGCGAAAGCAUGGGGGAGC